AGCAGCCGCGGUAAUUCCAGCUCCAAUAGCGUAUAUUAAAGUUGUUGCAGUUAAAAAGCUCGUAGUUGAAUUUCGGGAUCAGUACGCUGGUCGUGCCUCCGGUAUGUACUGGUGUCACUGAUUCCUCCCUUCUGAAGAACCAUCAUGCCAUUCACUUGGUGUGGUGGGGAAUCAGGACUGUUACUUUGAAAAAUUAGAGUGUUUAAAGCAGGCUCGCGCUUGAAUACAUUAGCAUGGAAUAAUGAAAUAGGACGUUUAUCCUAUUUUGUUGGUUUCUAGGAUUGACGUAAUGAUUAAUAGGGAUAGUUGGGGGCAUUAGUAUUCAAUUGUCAGAGGUGAAAUUCUUGGAUUUAUUGAAGACUAACUACUGCGAAAGCAUUUGCCAAGGAUGUUUUCAUUAAUCAAGAACGAAAGUUAGGGGAUCGAAGACGAUCAGAUACCGUCGUAGUCUUAACCAUAAACUAUGCCGACUAGGGAUCGGAUGAUGUUAAUUUUUAAUGUACUCAUUCGGUACCG
rnacentral:rRNA from 1 species